GCACCGGUGGUGCAUGGUGUACGCUGCCUUUCAAUGUGAUUACGACUCGAAUAUCAUUUCAGGCAGACUGGGGUUCGAUUCCCCGCCGGUGCA